UACGAAGGGGGCUAGCGUUGCUCGGAAUCACUGGGCUUAAAGCGUGUGUAGGCGGAUCUGUAAGUACCUUGUGAAAUCCCACGGCUCAACCGUGGAACUGCUUGGUAUACUGGCGGUCUUGAGCCACCUAGGGGCAAGCGGAACAAAUGGUGGAGCGGUGAAAUGCGUAGAUAUCAUUUGGAAUCGCCACGGCGAAAGCAGGCAGCUGGGGAUGCACCGACGCUGAGACACGAAAGCCAGGGGAGCGAACGGG
rnacentral:rRNA from 1 species